NAGUCUGACCCCAGUUAAGAUAAUGAAGACAUAGAUAGGAUAUGAAGACAGAUGUCUAGCGUUUUGUGCCACUUCAGAUAUCUGCAGGAUCUUGUGAAGCACAUCUAGAUGUGUAUAAUUGACAGGACCUAGCCUUAUUAAACAAAUGGCUGUGGACAUUGUGAGGCCACUAGUAGCCCUAGGACCCUGGGCCUGGUACUUCCCAGAGUCAGGUUGCUUGAGAAUGAAGCCCAAAGCAGAUAAUAAACUCCAUCUAAGGCUAAAUACCGGCACGAGACCGAUAGUCAACAAGUACCGUAAGGGAAAGUUGAAAAGAACUUUGAAGAAAGAGACUGGCCCUGGCGUGAGCCCACCCUCAUUGACACAUUCUCUCCAACAAGGCCACACCUCCUGAUUCUUCUGAUCCUUCUCAAACAGUG
rfam:Neotoma lepida isolate 417 scaffold_891, whole genome shotgun sequence.